rnacentral:rRNA from 1 species
GAUGAACGCUGGCGGCGUGCCUAAUACAUGCAAGUCGAGCGAAUGGAUUAAGAGCUUGCUCUUAUGAAGUUAGCGGCGGACGGGUGAGUAACACGUGGGUAACCUGCCCAUAAGACUGGGAUAACUCCGGGAAACCGGGGCUAAUACCGGAUAACAUUUUGAACCGCAUGGUUCGAAAUUGAAAGGCGGCUUCGGCUGUCACUUAUGGAUGGACCCGCGUCGCAUUAGCUAGUUGGUGAGGUAACGGCUCACCAAGGCAACGAUGCGUAGCCGACCUGAGAGGGUGAUCGGCCAAGCUGGGACGGGAACACGGCCCAGACUCCGACGGGAGGCAGCAGUAGGGAAUCUUCCGCAAUGGACGAAAGUCUGACGGAGCAACGCCGCGUGAGUGAUGAAGGCUUUCGGGUCGUAAAACUCUGUUGUUAGGGAAGAACAAGUGCUAGUUGAAUAAGCUGGCACCUUGACGGUACCUAACCAGAAAGCCACGGCUAACUACGUGCCAGCCGCCGCGGUAA